CUUUCUGGCCUGCUGAGUUUGAACAAGUGCUGGACAAUGCCUUGAUUCAUAUCCCUGCACGGUUAUAUCUGAACGCUGGCCUGUGUUCACGGCUGUGGGAAAAGCUGAGCACUGUCUCCUGGAAGCAGCAAACACAAAUCCAUGGUGGCAACAGAUGCUGGACCUGCUGCCCUACCUGGGAGUGCCACGGAGGAGUCUGCUGUCUGCUUGGCUGCUCCUCUUCCCUCCUGUGGGUCUGGGAUGAACUCAGCCCAUGCGUCGCUGUGGCUGGUUGGUGCCCCUGGGACAUGGCCAGAGGGUGCUUCUAAGUCCAGUGUUGCAGGCUCAGCUUCCCCUUGGCACACUGCCAGACCUGGGCUUUGCUGUUCCUCUCAAAAAUUGCAGAGGAGACAGGGAGGGACCUUUAGAAAUGCUGUGUGUGCAUGUGUAGGGCCAGUGUGUGCCAUCCUUACUCCUGACAUGACCCACCCCCAGGCUGCUCCCAGAAGACCUCAUACCUAUUUGUUGUUGGAUUUAGUAAUCAUUGCAAGACUCUUCCAACUGAGCCAUUCCAUUCCAUUCCAUUCUCCUCCAUUCCAUUCCAUUCUGUCCCAUUCCAUUCUCCUUCAUUCCAUUCCAUCCCAUUCCAUUCUGUCCCAUUCCAUUCCAUUCCAUUCCAUUC
ensembl:lncRNA